AGAUGUGCUUUAGUUCUGAGACAGAGCUUGGAGGGGGAACUGUAGAUGCAGGAAAACUCUCCUUGGCAACAUAAAAAGCCUCUGUCCAGUGUGCACAAUCUUCUCUUGCUGAACUUAAUGGCCUGAGAAGUGCACAGCACAGUAAUAUUUUGUUGCUUCAACUCCUAAUACACUAGCUGAAAAAAAAAGUUUUUAUUGAUAUGUUUUGUUCCUUGUAAAGUGUUUUAUGCUCAUGUUAGAAAGUUUUAUUUUUUUCAGAGGGGACCAAAUUCAUUAGGUACCAGCUGCUUUCACCCAGCUCCUCUUGGACACAUGCCAUUUCUAAAACCUUGGUAUGAAUCUUCAGAUUAAUUCUACUGGGUGUUGUGUCACAUCCUUUAUUUACCACAGCACUGUACUUACAAAGGUGAACUGAAUAUCUCAAAAAGAAGCACAAAGAUCAGGCUGCAUCAGACUCUGCUCCAGCACACCUGCAGCAAACCUUCCUCUCACAACACAAGGCAAAAAGAGACUGGCAUGGGAGUUCAGAUAGACAGCUGGCUCUCCAGGGUGCAUUCAGAGUAUAAGGGCAAAUCAUUGCACAAGUUACAUCCCUUGAAUGUAAUGUGGCCCAGAGACCCAGAGGAAUGAUCUCUCAAAUCAACUUAUGCUUAAAGUGUAGAUUCAGCAUUUCUUCCCUGUUCCUACCCAUGCUCAGCAAGCCUAAAAUAAAACUUGCACCCUCCCCCCACCCUGUCUGUCUACCUGGCAUUACUUUCUCCAUGAAAAGAUCAGGAAAUAAGGCAAAGGACUCCCAUUUACAGGACAUGCUGGGACUAAGACUCCCCCUUUAGCAGAGCCUGUUGGACAUUACCUACAUCCCACCUCCUGAUUUUAGUAAAUUAGUUUAGUCCCUGUCCUUGAGCUACUGCUCUAUCUGUGAACACAAACUCCUACAGGAAUAGCUUUAUGGGUAAACUUCCCCCUCAGCUUUUGUUCCCAAAACCCUUGCUUAUAAGUCCCCCCUGGGAACAGUCGCUGUGCUGCAUCCCAUUCAGGCUGUGCUUUUGAAAUAUUCCCCACAGGAAAGGCAGAAGUAGCUCCUCGCUGAUGGUCUUUUGAAAAGCAAGAGGAAACACUUCAAGGGAAGUCAGUGAGGUCAACAAAAACCAGCAGCGAUAGUAGUCUCUCACAAAUAAGCAAGAAUGUAAUGCAGAAAGUUCUUCUGCAGAAUUUUCCAGAAGUAAAAUAAAUUGGAAGACAGAAGUGGAUGUAGUUCCCAUAGCAAAUCAAUGAUGUAAAACAUUUAAAUAUUUAACCAAAAUUUCAGCAGCUUAUGAGCUAUCAGGGAAGCUCUUUAUUAUGAAAUUUUGACAUUAAUUUGCUCCCUAAAAUACUGAGAUGUUAAAUGCAAAAUGCACUGCAUCAGUUAUGCACCAAGGGUUAAGAAAGUAACUGUUUAGCAGAGACUGCUGACCUUCUUUUCCCUUCUUCUAACAGUCUUCCUGGGAUGAAUAUCAGUCAAUUAAAGAGGAGAUCUGCACUGUGUCCUUAACACAAGUUAUAACCUAGGUGCUAUUGGACAAUCAGCGAACAGGAAGAAUGGUCAGGCAGGGCACAGCAAUUGGCCUGACACAGCAUCUGACCUGGGACAGAGGUCAGAUCAUAACUGAGCUCACUCACACUAGAGUGAGCUGUUAUGCCAUCAUGAGAACCGGUCUGAACUGCGUCAUUUCAAAGACAGCCAGCUGAGUUUGAGGAUGUUUCUCUGGCACCCCAGAGACUCCAGCAUCUCAAAUAUGGUAUUUGAAUACAAGAUUAUGUCACCCAUUAUGCACACAUUGGCUAAUGUUCAAGCUGUUGAGAAGUAAGAGCAACUUGUUCCCAUUGGCCUUCCUGUAUGAGCUGCUGAAUUACUCACCAUCAUUUUUACAGAAAGCAGUAAAAUUAUAUUUAUGACUACUACAUAAAAUUCAAACAAGACCUUUAUUUACAUUAGGUUUUCAAGCAGUGGGUGUUGCAACAUACAUAACAAAAUUUCAUACUACAUUUUUUAUAGGUAAUCAGGUUGAAAAUCUGAUCUACAGAAUCAAUUUGUCAAAACUGGCUAAGCAGAAAAUGUGUUAACUUGGCUUAAGAGUACUCUGUCAAUUUUACAUAAUUUUCUAUCGUUCAGAGUAUUUCUGAUGUCCUGGUUAUAAAAACAGAAUGUUCAUGCAGGUUAAUUUACAGUGAACUCUCUAGUAAAUUUUGCGUUCUUCACUUGUUCAGAAGAGCAUGUCACUACUCUUCCCACCUUGUCUCACAAAGCAAUUACGAGUCCAAAUAGGGAGAAAACUUGAUCAGGAGAUUUUUAACAAAAACAACAAAAAAAAUAAAAAAGAACUUUCAUUUUGUGGCUAACUGAAUUAGAAUCUCUCAUUCUGUAGAAAACAAGUUGUACUGUAAAGAUUAAGCAGGUUCUUUUAUUUCAUAUUAACAUUACGCAGCAACCAAUAUGAGUGUCUAGGUAAACAGAGACUUUGUGAAAUGUUUUGCUGCAAAGCUGACCAGUAAUGCACACAAAUGAUAAAGUCAUCAACUCUGCUUAUUGCCAGAAAUAAAAAAAAAAGGCUUCAGGAGCAAAUAACACUGAU